rnacentral:lncRNA from 1 species
GGUUCCUGCCGUGAGGGAGUUGUUCCCCUGCUGCUCCCCAGGCCUUCCACUUCAGGGAUCUCUUCAGAUAAAGGGGGUGGCUGGGGCCUGAAAUCUCAGCCCUCUCCCCCAGUGCAGAAUGGCAAGGUCCCAGCACUGACCCCAGCCAUCCAGUAGGGACAGGAAGCUCAGAAAGCAGGCUACUUGCCUCUCAGUGGCUAUGGACCUGGAGCAGAAUUGAGUGAGACGGUCCUUGUCUGCCUGCCAGUCUCCCUUCAGACCCUUCUUCACCCACUUCCACUUGUUCACCGCCUUCCCACUGCCAGCCCAGGAAGAGGGUUAGCAAAGGCUGAGCCAGCUCUGACCCAGUCUCCUCUCCCCACGUUUUGGUGGUGACCUCAUGCUGCAGAAAGUAGGUCAGCCUGGAGUCCAUUGGGGCUCUCUCUGGCCCUACCUACAGCCCUGGGCAGCUUGGGUCAGGACUGAAUAUGGACAUGCAGGGCUCAGGAGCCAGCCAGGGACCUAUGGACAGCUGCGGCCUGCCCUGGGCCCAGGGCCCUUUGGGAGCCCUGACAUGAAGAGAGGCAGCAAUGGCCAGUUGGAAGCCAGUUACGCAGGCCGCUGCCCUCUUGGGAAAUGCUGAGCACCUGAGCUGUCUCCUGCCCAUUGGAGAGCCCCAAAACAGUGGGCUUUGCUGGAGCAAGGAAGGCAGGACGUUGGGGCUUGGCCUCUGAUGGUGCCUAUCCUGGGUCUCCUCUGGGCUGAAGUAUCAAUAAAUGGAAUCUGUUUCCACUUGCCUCUGUGUACCACUGCAGUGAGGGUAGCAGGGGCUGGCAACCACUACCCAGCACCCCAUUCAUUUAUUCAUUCACAAACACCAGUGUGGCUGUGUGCCAGGGGCCGUGCAUCUAGAUGGGUGACAUUGUGAAAACAAAUCAAAGACCAGUGAGGGAACCAAUCUAAGUUAGGGGACUUGUGUAUGGAAAAAAGAUACUUCAUAAUUUGUUU